CCAAAAGAGAGAAAAAGGGGAGAAAAAGAAGAAACAUAAAACAAAGAAUUUUUCUGGGAAAAUUGUGUGAUCAGGCUGAGCCAUUAGGCUGCUUCCUUAUCAAUUUCUGAUCAUAUUUCGAGCUUUUAGAACCGAUUCUUUGUUUAUGCACUUUUCUGGGGAUGCAGUGAUGAAACUUUCGUCUGGAGACAAUUUUUUUAAAAAAAUCUCCAGGCCAAUCAAAUUGAAGCUCAAAGUAGCUAGCUCGCCAGUUCUUGAAGAUUUCUGUAGCAGAGUUUGGGUUGACAGAUUUAACCUUUGAGCGCGUUUAUUUCACAUUUCCUCUCGAUUGUUUGGUGUUACAGUAUUAGAGGUGCUCAAGUUUUUUGGAUAGCAAGACACUAUGUAACUCGGCCACGGCUGUGAUCUGUCCAUUGCACUCCCCAGUCGCUCCAGCAGCUCUGAACCGUGGUAAACAGCCUAUAGGCGGCAGCUUUAGAACACCCCAAAUUUUCUCCCACCUUUCUUGUAUAUUUUCUGUUGUGCAUGCUAAUAAGCACUUCGCCUUGCUCUACAAUGGCUAACUUACUAUUUUCUAGUAGUGAAAAUUAAAGAUUUGCAGGAGUA